AGUGAACGCUGGCGGUAGGCCUAACACAUGCAAGUCGAACGGCAGCACAGUAAGAGCUUGCUCUUACGGGUGGCGAGUGGCGGACGGGUGAGGAAUACAUCGGAAUCUACUUUUUCGUGGGGGAUAACGUAGGGAAACUUACGCUAAUACCGCAUACGACCUACGGGUGAAAGCAGGGGAUCUUCGGACCUUGCGCGAUUGAAUGAGCCGAUGUCGGAUUAGCUAGUUGGCGGGGUAAAGGCCCACCAAGGCGACGAUCCGUAGCUGGUCUGAGAGGAUGAUCAGCCACACGGGAACUGGGACACGGUCCAGACUCCUACGGGAGGCAGCAGUGGGGAAUAUUGGACAAUGGGCGCAAGCCUGAUCCAGCCAUACCGCGUGGGUGAAGAAGGCCUUCGGGUUGUAAAGCCCUUUUGUUGGGAAAGAAAAGCAGCAGGUUAAUACCCCGCUGUUCUGACGGUACCCAAAGAAUAAGCACCGGCUAACUUCGU
rnacentral:rRNA from 1 species